AGCGGCGGACGGGUGAGUAAUGCUUAGGAAUCUGCCUAUUAGUGGGGGACAACAUUCCGAAAGGAAUGCUAAUACCGCAUACGUCCUACGGGAGAAAGCAGGGGAUCUUCGGACCUUGCGCUAGUAGAUGAGCCUAAGUCGGAUUAGCUAGUUGGUGGGGUAAAGGCCUACCAAGGCGACGAUCUGUAGCGGGUCUGAGAGGAUGAUCCGCCACACUGGGACUGAGACACGGCCCAGACUCCUACGGGAGGCAGCAGUGGGGAAUAUUGGACAAUGGGGGGAACCCUGAUCCAGCCAUGCCGCGUGUGUGAAGAAGGCCUUAUGGUUGUAAAGCACUUUAAGCGAGGAGGAGGCUACUGAGGCUAAUACUCUUGGAUAGUGGACGUUACUCGCAGAAUAAGCACCGGCUAACUCUGUGCCAGCAGCCGCGGUAAUACAGAGGGUGCGAGCGUUAAUCGGAUUUACUGGGCGUAAAGCGUGCGUAGGCGGCUGAUUAAGUCGGAUGUGAAAUCCCUGAGCUUAACUUAGGAAUUGCAUUCGAUACUGGUCAGCUAGAGUAUGGGAGAGGAUGGUAGAAUUCCAGGUGUAGCGGUGAAAUGCGUAGAGAUCUGGAGGAAUACCGAUGGCGAAGGCAGCCAUCUGGCCUAAUACUGACGCUGAGGUACGAAAGCAUGGGGAGCAAACAGGAUUAGAUAUCCUGGUAGUCUAUGCCGUAAACGAUGUCUACUAGC
rnacentral:rRNA from 1 species